CACCAACACAGAAAAAAAUUCUUAUAUAAUUUUAUUGUUUAUCAACAACUUUAUCAUAUUUUGCAUGCACUGGCUAACGUUUGGUAAAAAUUUGAUGAAAAUCGGACUGAUUUUGAGCGCGCAGUAGCGAUUUUCCACAAAACGCCAAAAAGGGUGUACUGUAACCUUAAACUUAAAGUUUAUGUAAAACAGCAUGAUUCUGUAUCAGAUAUACAAACUCCUGCACGCCCUUGAUUUCUUAUUUGUUUUCUUCAUGAAUUAUUAGAGAGUUUAAGCUUUGCGUUAUACUCAAACGGCAAACGCCAGGCAAAGAAAAAUUUUACGGUAUCAGGCAAUAAAGAGUAAAUGAACUUGCUGUUUUAAAACUGAAAUACAUAAUUAUUUUUUCGACGCAAGAAUGAAAAUAUGAAACGAAAACGUUCAACGAAAAUUUUGCCAAGAAAGUUCGAACCUGCCGUUUGCCUUUGUCUGGCUCUAAGAGUUUAGUAGGGUGCAUCAUGGCGCUUUGCUACUUGGGCUCACCCAGUCAGAGCGAGCACCGAAAACCUCUGAGAUUGUGAGUUCGAGACUCGCUGUAUGGACUCAUGUGAAAGGAGUCUGUCCAGGGACGCCGGAACUGGGGGGCAGGAGGGGCAGCCGCCCCCGUUGCCCUUUACCAGGAGGGGCAAGGGGGGCAAAGGUGCCCUUUCAAUUUAAAGGAUUGCCUUGGCGAAAUAGCGAAUUGUCAGAAAUGUUAGUGCAAUUCCUUUACGAAUUUGCUUCAGAAAACGCAAGAAAUGCAGUCAUCGAGCUUCAAGAAUAGCGCAAGCGCAUGGCGGAGAACCCCCUCACACCCCUAUCAUCCAAUAAAUAGAAAACAUGAUUAGGCGAAGUUCAACUCCCGAUGUUUUGGAAACAUCUCUUAGUAUAUAUCAAUUCAAAAGUGCCCUUUCACGAAAAUCUGCCCCCCUUGCCUUCACAUCGUUCUGGCGUCCCCGAGUCUGUCAACGCUCUGCCGAAAGUCGUAGGUUUUCUCUGGGAACUCCGGUUUCAUCCCACAGGGAAAGUUGUCAGGGUGGGUUAGGAUAAACAUAGUUAAGAAAGUAAUCACAAUAGACCUUUCCCAUUAUGAGUGAAAUUUUGAUCUAGAUAUGCCUGGACAAGAAUUUCAUCGCAGCUUGCUUCCGCUGCACAUUUACUUGGUUCCAAAUGGUUAAAUUCAACAAGCAAAAUGCGUUUGUCAUGGUUUUUGAACGGUCAUCCCGACGUUUCGCAACAUACAAAUGCUAAUCUUUUCCUAAUCGUUCAGAACUUUAUUGUGAACACUAAACGCUUUUGUUAAAAUCAAGAACACUUUUCAGCCAUGACUUGCGGUAAUGUUCAUCUUGUAAGAUAGAAGACGCUGUUAAUUCUGCAGGUGCAUGGCUAUUUGUGUGUCAAAAUUUAUUUUAUUCUUAUUCUCAUACGUUUCGUUACCACUCUAUAUUUAUUAAUUUCAAUGCAAACUACGUAUUUAUUAAUGUCAGGCCUAGCUUUCCCUACGGUUUUCGGAAAAAUUGCCAUUUCUUUUUUUUUUAAUUAAAUAUUGUUUAUAUGCAUGGAAAGAGCAUUACAAAAUGAGUAAUAUUCCGAAGUUUCGUUACGAAAUGUUUUAAAAUGUGGAUAAUAUAGCCUUGCGAAGUUUGCAAUUUUCAGUCAUUUUGUAUUACAAAUGGGAAAUUGAUAAUCAGUUUGACCAUCUGAUUAUCAAUUUCCCGGACGUAAUACAAAAUGACUGAAAAACGGCAAAUUUCGCAAGGCUAUAUUAUCCGCAUUUUACAACAUUUCGCAACGAAACUUUGGAAUAUUACUAAUUUUGUGAUGCUCUUUCACGCUGUGAUGAAAUGUUUGUCCAGACUUGUUUAGAUCAAAAUUUCACUCAAAAGGUCUAUUGUUGUGAAAAUAAAUAAUCUAAGCUUAGUAGGUAAUAUAAGUAAGCGUAAUACUUGAUGUAAUCGGUCAGUAAAAAGCCCCGUUGGGGAGUGGGAUGAAUAAUCAAAAUCGUAAUCAAUCAUAAUCAAAAAGUGAAGGUGUUUAUAGAGUCAAAUCCGCAUUUACAAACGAGCAUGAAACAAGGCCGGAUUUUGGUGGAAAUAGUGGGGGAGGUGGAAAAAAAUUUAGGGGAGGUGCAGCGGUCUAGCUCACGACCCCCAUCACUCUCCUCCACAGAAUCUGAAUUAUAUAGGUUUGUAGGGAUAUCCCCCCCCCCCUUAAUAUUACGCAAUUUUACUAAAAAUUCGUAAGGCUCUGCGGAGGAGAGUGGACCCCCAUGGAAAGUUAGGGCUUAGAACGGGCCAAAAUCAACGACGUGACGUAUGCAUGUAGUGUACAUAUGUGAGUGUAUUAAUGAAUUAUGACUGUACAACUCAUCCAAUUUUGCCCUUCAUUACAAUUACUACAAAGUUUCUUUCAAAACAUUAAAAUGGCACUUGACACAGAGAUAAAUAUAUCACUGUUUCAGUUUUUACAGAAAAAUUUUCAUACGAAUUGUAGACCCUAAGCAACCGAAAAGUAACAAUUUCCACUUUGAUCUAUCAUUGCAAAAAUUCUGGAUAGAACUAGAAUUUGAAUGUAAAAUUUAUACUUUUUUAGACGUAACCUGGACUAGUUACGAAAAAUGCGACUAUAGGACCACUGGC